GACGAACGCUGGCGGCGUGCUUAACACAUGCAAGUCGAACGGAAAGGCCCUGCUUUUGUGGGGUGCUCGAGUGGCGAACGGGUGAGUAACACGGGAGUAACCUGCCCUUGACUUUGGGAUAACUUCAGGAAACUGGGGCUAAUACCGGAUAGGAGCUCCUGCUGCAUGGUGGGGGUUGGAAAGUUUGGGCGGUUGGGGAUGGACUCGCGGCUUAUCAGCUUGUUGGUGGGGUAGUGGCUUACCAAGGCUUUGACGGAUAGCCGGCCUGAGAGGGUGACCGGCCACAUUGGGACUGAGGUACGGCCCAGAGUCCUACGGGAGGCAGCAGGGGGGAAUAUUGCACAAUGGGCGGAAGCGUGAUGCAGCAGCGCCGCGUGCGGGAUGACGGCCUUCGGGUUGUAAACCGCUUUCGCCUGUGACGAAGCGUGAGUGACGGUAAUGGGUAAAGAAGCACCGGCUAACUACGUG
rnacentral:rRNA from 1 species